rnacentral:lncRNA from 1 species
GUGUGUGCCCAGGCACUGGGCAGGACUUCUCCUCGCGGCCAUGGAUCCGCCCAGCUUCCUGGUGCGGGCCUGUGACCAGGCCCUGGGUUUUCUCCCUCAGGCGGCCAAUGGCCUUGGUGGUGCGGGCUGCAGAGUUGGUGCCUGGUAGGACUGUGUCUGUCUGUCGCUCUAUUUCUGGGCAGUGGAAGGGGGGGACCAGCUCUGCCUGGGGAGGCGGGGAGCUGGGCUCUGGGGCCUCUCUGCAGACCUCCAGGGUUAGAGCUCACCUGAGGGUGCUUUCACUUCCAGCCCAUCUUCACGGAGCCGAGUGGACGCCUUGCACGUGGCCAGGGAGUGGCCGGGGCUCCUGCCGACUGUGGCCGGGGCCUGCGAGCCCUGUGUGGGCAUUGCGCUGUGUAGGGGCUACAGGCACGCUCGCCUUUUCUGGCUUCCUCGAAGGCAGCCCAGGCUGUGUCCCUCCUCUCCUGUGAGAGCUGAGCCCUUCUGCAGGGGACACAGAACACCGUGCUUGACCUUCGCUGAGUCCCUCUCCUUCCCCAGCUGUCCCUGGCCCGCCUCAUCCAGGGUGGCUACGGUGCAUCCUGUGUCCAGUUCCUGACCCAGGGCCCCUGUGGCCUGUACUGAGUCUGGGAGCUUUGAGACCCGGGUUGUGCUCAGCAGUGGGACAGGAAAUCUAACUUGAAGUGCCGCUGACUUAAGAACAUGGGCUUCUGUACUUCUGACCCAAGGGAAGCCAGAGCUGGUGCAUGGCCCAUAUGGAGUGGGCUCGGGGAAACUGACCCCUCGCCCUGCUACCUGCCAGGCACCGAGGACCUGCUCUGCAGAGGAUGCGACUCUCUCCCUGAGAUUCGGGCUGGGAGGUGCAGCCCCUGCCCUCCUGGCUUCCGAGCCCUUUUGCCUGCUUCCCCUUCACCUGUGGCCCCUGGCACACACGCUUCAUUUUGCCGCCUUUCCUGAUUCCCCAACCUGGGAGCCCCCUGAAACCAGCGUUCCCAGAGCCGAGAAGAUGGACGAUCAGCUUCCAGCACCCUCCCCCAGUCUGGCUGGGACUUGCAUCAGUCACGUAAGUAGCUGUGACUCAGCAGCAGCGCUGGGUCAGGAGGCAGAGCUGUGGCCUGGGCAGGCUUCCCCGUUCUGCAUUUGAACAUGGCCUGGUGCAGUUCCUGGGUCCAGUGGGUUCCAGUUUGGAUUUUGCAAACAAAGAUUCCCCCUCCUUCCAGUUUUCCUCCCUUGUUAUUUUUUGGGGCACUAUGGUGGGCAUAAGAUAUUUAGGACUUUAAAAGACCUUACAUGGUUUAUAAAACGAAGGGGAAGCUCUCAUUGUGAUCUUUGUUUUGAGCCAGUGGCCCAUGAAGCGUGUUGAACCCUCAUCUGUGUUUGGUUUGGCCCGAGUGGCGUUACUUUACGUGUCUGAUUCUGUGGGCCUCGGGACGCAGUGCGGCCAGUCACUCUGUCUCUGCUGCUGCUGCUGCUGCUCCUCUGUCCUGGGACCAAACAGACCCUCCAAGCCGCCGCGUGUUGGUGACCAGUCCACCCAGCCUCCCUUUCACACCUGGGACACAGAGGCCCGUUCAGGGCAAGUGGCAGGUCCCUCCCCCGUGCUCAGAGUCUGGGCAGAGCCAGGGUCCUGACCUUUCCUCCAGCCCGGCAUCCCUGCCCGGGCAGAGGAGUGUCCUGGGGUGGCAGAAAAGCUGCAGGGAGAACGCAACUCCCAGCCCCCUUCCCUGCCCGGGACAGGCCUCAGGGCUCCUGUCCACGGCCCCUGCGGGGUGUUCUCCUUCCCAGGCCGCCCUGCCAACCCUUCCACACAGCCGGGGUGCGUAGGCCCCUUUGGCCGAGGCAGGAGACCCCUUCGCUCUCAGUGGGCAGCUGAGCCCCUCAGGCUGACUCGAUUUCCUGAGACCCAGAUGGGCUUAGGCUCGGUGCUGGGGAGGUGGAGCCUCUUUCAGCCCCUGUGACAUCACGUGCUGCUUCUGGCUAGCGAGCAGCCACCAGCUCCUUCCCUGCCCAUCUGACCGAGAGGGGAACCUCGCUUCUGUUAGGACUGAGAUCCAGAUGGCCCUUUCGUUCAUUGGGAAUCAAAGGACAGAAGAUUUGGGUGAAACCCUGCUUCUUUCAGACUGCUUAAGGCAGCCCACCCUUAAUGGUCUCACGCCUCUUCUAACAGAGGUGAGAGUGAGCUGUGGACUCUCAGGAGGCGUCCCAGACGCUGGCUCCUGAGCACAGUCCCAUGGUGGCAGUGGCUCCCUGCUAGGCACAGUGGGUCUCCUGGACCCUGGAUGGCGCUAUGCUUCCUGGUUAGUAGGAGGGUCAUUCAUUCAGUGCCACACAGAAAACCACUCCAGAAAGGGGAGAAAGACAGCCCUCUCACAAGCCAGGAGGCUGAGACAGGACGGGCGGCUGGUUGGAGAGAUUCUUUCAGAGCAGGCAGGACAGCGGGCCAGGGAGGCCCCUCUGGAGGCCAGCAGGCACACAGCAAGGGAGUUUGGGUGACGACUACAGUUGCUAAGGGAGAGUUUGGCUAAAACAAAAAGCAGAAAGGCUGAGAAUUGUCCAGGGUGAGUCUCCCCCCUUACAGGACUGGAUAUCUGGUGAUAACUGUCCUGUAACGCUCGCCGUCACCUGGCUCCCAAGGCCCGGGUGUCCCUCAGCACCCCGUGUCAGACCUGUGGCCGAGGCGUGGCAGGUCCCCUGGGCUGCAGAGCCUGCUGCUGGCGUCAGAACUGCCAGGGAGAGCUCACUGGCCGCACGUUCCCUUGCUGAGAGGGCCGCAGGCACAGCAGAGGCUCAAGAGAGCACAAGCAGACCACCCGGGCCACCAGCCCCUUUGCAGAGCCUGGAUCCCAGCGCAGUGUGGCGUGCUGUACAAGGGGCCCGCCCACUUCGCUGCGGAAACACCGCCUGCAUGCUUCCGACCCCCCCCCCCCGGGUCUCGCUCAGCAUCGGGCAGGCGGGAACCAGGCUCGGGGCUUACCCCCGGGCCGCCUGUACUGCUCGUGUGACCUUGGACACAGGCUGUUCUUGGUGAAGGUCACUUUCUUCCGCAAAAGUCGGCAGAAUACCUUCUUCAUACAGCUGUGGUGAGCAUUAAAUAGCACAGUUCUUGCUCACAUUGUAUUCCCUCCUCUUCCUGAAGCAACACAUACUGUUACUGCCAUGAAAGAGCCAUAGAAAAGAACCCUGUAUCCCGAGGCCCAACUCAGACACACAGCUGCUGCUCCGUCUCCUCCCUGGGCCAGGACAUCAGAGGAGAGGCAUUUUUAGAACCUCAUAGGAUGUUGUGGAAGAAGAAAUUAAUUUGAAACAGAUUAUAAGUUACAUGUUCAGGCAGAUUUUGAACGCAAAACUCAGUAUGAGUAUUAGCGGAUUAUCUACGAAACAAUGAUAGGAUGCGAUUUUCAAAGUCACCCCCCAGGUGAAAUGGGAUUCCACCUAAUCAGUCACGCCUCAAUGUUCUGUGGCUCACAGACCCGAGGGGGGCAGCCUCGGGCUCUCGCCAGGCAGCGCCCGUUUGUGCAGAAGCACCGCGUAGACGGGCAGCUGCCACGGCUGGGUCCUCUGCAUGCUGGGAAAUAGUCCUUAAACGCAGGGCAGUCUGGACGGAUGCUCUUUAACCCUGGCCCUGGCUCUUCCGUUUCAUCCCGUGCCAUGACUUACACUGACGGGUUGUGAAAUUAAGCAGAACUGGUGAGUUUUGUACCCUUCACACCGCGUCAGCCCAGCUUUUAGGAGCUGCUCGGUGUCUGUCUCGUCUCCCUGCGGGUCGCUCUGUCACAUCACAGGUAGAGCUGCGAGACGUUUCUCCAGGAGAUGGGGGCCAAGUCUUCAGAUCACUCUCUUCAUCCUCUUCGGUGAAUCCUCUUCUUCUGGAAGCUGGUUUCACAUGGUGGCUUAGAUUUUUCGAUCUUUGUAUCUAGCACCAUUUGAAAUCAGUGUUUUAGGAGUAAGAAUUGCAGCAUGACGCGAGGAGGGCUUCUUGGAGUUGCUGCCCGCGGCCCAGCUCUCCAGUGGCGGGACUCCGAAGGCAGAACGCACCUGUGGAUGUGUUGGGUUUGGAGGGCGGCCGAGGAGAGGUCUGUGCUGGGAUGAACGCAGUGGCCUGGCCGGGCAGAGGCAGUCCGUGCUCCUCUGUGAGUCAGGGUGCUGUACGGGCGGCUGUGGUAGGAGGGAGUCCGGGGCCUGCUGCAGCCACCUCAGCGCUGGCUGCCUGCUCCGAGGACGCCCAGGACCGGCUGCAGUCCCGCACCGCUGCUCGCAGGCUUGCCGUCCGCAGGGAGCUGCCCACCGCUGGCUCGUCUCUUACACAGGCUGACCGAUUUCUCCUGGUGUUCAGAGUCUGUUUUUGUCUAGCACCAUUUGAAAUCGGUUAUGAUGUAGGGGGAAAAGCAGCAGCCGCCGCGAAGCCUUGCGCCGGUGUGGUCAGCACAGCCUGUGGGCUCCUGGAGAACGGGCGGGCAGAGGCGGGGGAGAAAGAUCGCGCUUUCCCUGCCACCUUCUUUAACUGUACUUAGGUCACUGUGGAGGUAAGAGAUAAUUUAAUGGAAAAGCAUUAUAAUUUGUCUGAUGUCCUCAGCUGCAUUUUCUGAAACGCAGCACUGCUGCGAUUGUGUAGUGGUUGCUGUUGACAUGUCUUUGUUAGGAAGAGUCUGCUCAUGCGUCCUGACUUUAAUAAAUAAUGUGCUGUGUUCCACUGAUCAUGGCCGUGUUUUUCAUCUGUUAUUUUCCAUUCACAAUUCUGUGACGAUGAGAAGUUAGUUCUGAAAAAGUGAUUUGCUGCGCAGAUCAUCCUACCUGCUUCCUGAGGCAUUUAGAGGUGGUUGCAACAGACGUGAAAAAUGAAGCUCAGGAAGACAAAAAUGAGGUCCUGUGAGCUGGGAAAAUGGAUUAGAGAAGAGAAAAAUGUUGGUGAUGUAGGCUGAGGGAACGGGAAACUGUCCUCGGCUCCCCAAGAGCCGUGGAUGCAGUGCCUCUGCAGAAGGUUCCAGAAACUUGUACUUCGCAGUAUCGUGUGGGCCCGAGCGGAGCAGCACUAAUUUCAGUUGCGUUUUAACAGAUGGAGUUCUACUUUUGGCUGUUAGUUUCUAUCAACUCUCGACGACAGGGUGAGCCAGUUUUGUAGUACUAUUCAGAGAUUAGCCAGAUUUGACUUCUCAGGAGGUGAAGCCCCGACUCUGGGAAGGAAGAUGUAGUCCCUUGGUCGGGCCUUCCCACAGGAAGUACCGGCCCUGUGCUCCCUGCAGGACAGGUAUUUCAGACAGUGAUUUACCUGGACACCAGGCGACGGCAAAUCAGACACCAGAAGCCUUUUCAAAGCCCACGUCCCACCAGGCUCCCCCAGAUGGCUGCCCUGCCCGGGGGCCUGGGGGUGGAAGGCGGAUGAAGCAUUUGUUGGGAAGAUUUCCCAGUGAAUGUGGUGCAUCCUGCAGCUGCAGAGCUAUUUCAGGCUGCUGAUUGAAGAAUCCAUGUUCUAAUCCCCAGGAUGUGGUGGUGAGAAUAGCUAAGGCCUUACAUUGUAUUGUCUUAUUCGCUUCUCUGUCGAAGUAAGCUACAGCAGUACCCCAGGCAUGACAGCUUUGGGUCUGCGCUGCUAACUGCACAUUAACCUGUUUUGGAUACACUUACCAUGUCCCAAGCUCCAAAUUAUUUGCAUUCAAAUAUAAAUAAGACAUGAUUCUGCCCCUCCUGAGGCCCGGAUUUUACUCCUUAAAUGAAUAAGUGCUAGAAGAUGGAGUUUAGCAUCACACACACACAGGUUUGAGAUCUCUUUUCUAUAACAGUUCAUUGCAUUUUCAUCACAUACUUAAUUUUAAACAAUGCCACAUCUCCAGCUCAGAUCAUGAGAAGCAAAACGUAUCAGAGGUGCCACUCAUGUAUGCUUAUUUUGUCUGUCUGCUCACAGCCAUUUGCUUCAAGUUGCCACUGUGAGGUGGUUUUCAUAAUAGAUUAGGAAAUAAUGCAGAAUGUUUCUCCUGCUGACACCACCUUGAACCAGGUUUAGGAGGCUGUGCUAACACCUGGGGUAGAAAUGCUUGGUAAAAGCAUCACCAGAGGUUUGCCAUGGUUUUAUGUAGAAGAGAAGAGGAAGUUUAGACUGCAGCACCCUGGAGCCCCAGGCAGCUUGCUAGCAGGUAGUUCCCGCCUGUGGAGGUGAACCCCGGUGAGUCCUUAGCAGACAGGAAGGAGUCAGAUCUUUGAGCAGUUUAGUGAGGCAUCCAGGCUGGGCAGACCCUGGCAAUUCCUUGUGUAAGAUGUUGGCCCUGGUCUUCAUUCUGGGGAGCUGGUGCAUAAUUGCAGGAUUACCUAGCAGACUAGUAUGUCUGCACUUUAGGGGAGCUAAGAGUUUUCCUGGAACACAGAAAAUUACACUUUGGGCUAAUGCAGUAGUCCACCACCUGGGCUUCCUGGACCCCAAGAGCCUCUGGGCGAGGGACCCUUGGGUCCCAUCCCCAUGGGACCUGGUUUAGCUGGUCUCAGAAGGGGCCUGGACACUCUCUUUUGUUUUUUAAAGUUUCCCAGGUGAUUCUAACAUGCAGCCAGGGUUGGGAGUCACUUCUGAGGACUGCCAGCACCCUCGGUGUAUAAGCCAGUGGUAUAUUCGUUCCUUUGGCCGCUAUAACAAACCUGUGCCCCAACACACCUACAUUCUCAACAUAAGUCUCAGUCACUCACGGGACUGAAACAGGGAGGUAACAGGGUGUAUUGCCUUGUUCAGCACCUAGAGCUUCCUUCCUUGGGCUGCAUCUUGUCUUCCAUCUCUGAAGCCAGCAGUGUCACACUGUCAGUGGCCAUAUCAUCACUUGCCCUAGUCCGAUCUCCCUUUGGCUUUCUCUGCCCAGCACCCUUGGGAUGACACACAGUGCCCUAGCUGGGUAAUCUCCCCCUUUCCAAAGCUCUAAUCUUCAAAGACCCUUUUGCCAUAUCAAGUCACAUUCUCAAGUUUUAGGUAUUAGGAUUUGGCCAUCUUUGGAGGCCACUCCAUAGCAGUGGCUGGAAAUACAGAAGAAAUGCAGGACCCCCCCCCCCAGCCCUGGUGAGUCAGCACGCACAAAAUCAUCGUGUGACUCAGCUGGACACCAGCAUUCGCAAAGCAUGGUGCCAUGGGGUCCACCUCCAGCACAGCCCUGUCAGCCUACUUCCCCAGGAGCCUUUGAGUGGAGGUGGGUGGUAAUCAGAUGAUGGAAUUUUCCUGACCCCACACAGAAGUGCUCCUCUAAGCCUCCAUCCCUGGAUUCUUGAUGAAGCCACAGACGUAAGCACCAGGAGGCCUGAGCAACAUAGAGUAGUGCUGUAGUGCAGUCCCUAAAAGCGACAUGCGGGAGGUAGACGUCAGCUUCAGUGGCUUCUCCUACUGGCAGUUUCACUACCUCCAUACAGGCUUUCUCGGGCUUUGCACUGUCAAGCUGGAAAUCGGGGCAGGUUCCGGUGUGAUCUGGUAUCCGGCGUGAUCCGACAUCUGGUGUUCAUUCCCCUCUGCUGGACUCAAGUGAGAAAGAAGAAAAGUUGCUUAUUUAUCCCACAGCCCUUCUCCCCUAUAUUAUGUUCACCGCGUUUUUAUUUUAUUUUUUGGUACUUGGGAAGGAGCUCAGCCCAGGGCCUCUGCAUGACGUCACAUCUCAAGCCCUGUUUAAUCUUUUAUUUUGAGCUGGGCUGGAACUGCCUCGGCCUCCCAGAGUGCUGGAAAUACAAGCACAUGCUGCCCUACCCGGCAACGUUCCCCCAGCAGUAUGGGGAACAACUUAGUCCUUUUUUAAAGAUGUUAAUUUCGCAGAAGCACCAGGAGAGAGCUAGUUUUAUACUGGAUCCAAAACGAAAUUAGAAAUGGAACCUCUUGACGGUUUGAAAGUGAGGAGGGAUUGGCCGAUGCCCCUACCGUCCACAGGAGGGCAGCAGUGUCUCGCUCUACCGAGGCUGUUUGCUCUCCCUGUAACCUUUUCCAAAUGAGCCUGGACAUGCUGGAAGCAAAGCAGUUUAGGGAAAAAUAAUACAUACGUGCAGUCACUCAGACCUGCAUCAAUUCUAGGCGUUAGUAGACUCCAGUAGAAUCCUUAAGUGCGAGUACGCAAAUUUUUUAAAAUGCACAGAAAACUUCAUUCUUGGUUGACGACACCGUGGAGAUGCCUCUUUCCCUUAAGCCCGAAAAUCUACUUUAAGAAGCCAAUUUAAAUUCCUUCCAAUCUCAGGUCUCUGCAGUGUUCCUGCAGAAGACUUUGUUAAUUACCUUAAAAGCAUUCCCUGUGUAUUUUUUGCCACUUGAAACAACGAGUCUCGGGGUCAAAUAAUGUUUUCUAGAGUGAUUUCCUCGUUCAUAUUCAACAUAGUUUUCAUCCAACGUUGAUGGUAAAAAGAUUUCUCCUGUAUUUUAAAACCACGUUUAGCUAGAUUGCAAGACCUGAACUCUUUAAAAUUUUUCUGAUUUAACAGGUGGAAUUAAAACCAUGAUUCUUUGGUGGAGGGGAGUAUAAACCUUUACCUUCCUCUCUCUUUGUAAAUUUAUUUGAAGAAACUGACUGUCGUGCUUGAGAACCUCUGUUGCAGACGUCCUCAGCUCAGGGUACGGUGGAGUCACUUGGGUCCCAGCCGGUGUGGGGCCACGUCCCAGGUCAAUUACCCAUGAGCCCUUGGGUCCUGACCCAGGUGUCAUAAAAUUCCCCAGGUGAUUCCAAUGUGCAGCGAUGGCUGAGAAACACAGAGGCCUCCUCUGAGAUUCCGAAGUCUAAUUCCAAUCUGCGAAGACAGCCAGCAUGACUUUUUGUGUGAACAAACCCUCAUCCCUGUUACAGAAAUCAAACUCUAUACGUGAAUUGUUGGGAGUUGGGUUUUUUAUUCAGCACUGUAUACAUUUACGAGAUGCGGAAGAUGCGUCUAUUGUUAGACUCUGUAAGUGGUUAACACGCAGUUAGCUGGGGAGAAACCCGGCAAAGCUGCAGGCAGUGGGUUGUCUCUGAGAUGGUCUCUGGGAAACGAAUAACUCCAGAGAAGAUAAAGAUAUUUCAAGCAACAGGGGACUGGGAAUAUAGCAGAAGGCAUGGGGCAGAUGGUCCAGGUUGGCUGAGAGCAGGCUACUUGAAAAAAUGUAGCAGAAAGAAAGGCUUGGAAAGGAUUUCAUCGCAGAAGGUCAAGUUCAUGCUGGGAAUCACCAGCACGGGAGUGGCUCGGCGAGGGAGACUGACCUGAGAUUAACGCGGUAGAUGCACAGAUGAAGCAGCUCCACGCAUACUCUUACUUUUACCAGACUUGAGCCCCCUUCACACAAUGAACAGUAAGGGUCCCCUACACAUGGGCUUCUCAUCUUACUGCACAUUCAUUUUUGCUGUACAAAAGUAUCAAGUUCAAAAAUGCUUCUUUCCCCAUCAUUUAAAAAACGUUUAAAGAAAACUUUUCCCCAUGUAGUUAGUGGGCAAAUUGACAAAAUAUGUAUUUAGGCAUAAAUCUCAAAUAUAAAUAUUAAAUUGAAAAUAC